rnacentral:rRNA from 1 species
UACGUAGGGGGCAAGCGUUGUCCGGAACCAUUGGGCGUAAAGCGCGUGUAGGCGGCUCGAUAAGUCUGCUGUGAAAGUCCAGGGCUCAACCCUGGGAUGCCGGUGGAUACUGUCGAGCUCGAGUCCGGAAGAGGCGAGUGGAAUUCCUGGUGUAGCGGUGAAAUGCGCAGAUAUCAGGAGGAACACCGAUGGCGAAGGCAGCUCGCUGGGACGUGACUGACGCUGAGACGCGAAAGCGUGGGGAGCAAACAGG